AGUGAACGCUGGCGGUAGGCCUAACACAUGCAAGUCGAACGGCAGCACAGUAAGAGCUUGCUCUUACGGGUGGCGAGUGGCGGACGGGUGAGGAAUACAUCGGAAUCUACUUUUUCGUGGGGGAUAACGUAGGGAAACUUACGCUAAUACCGCAUACGACCUACGGGUGAAAGCAGGGGAUCUUCGGACCUUGCGCGAUUGAAUGAGCCGAUGUCGGAUUAGCUAGUUGGCGGGGUAAAGGCCCACCAAGGCGACGAUCCGUAGCUGGUCUGAGAGGAUGAUCAGCCACACUGGAACUGAGACACGGUCCAGACUCCUACGGGAGGCAGCAGUGGGGAAUAUUGGACAAGGGGCGGAAGCCUGAUCCAGCCAUACCGCGUGGGUGAAGAAGGCCUUCGGGUUGUAAAGCCCUUUUGUUGGGAAAGAAAAGCAGCAGGUUAAUACCCCGCUGUUCUGACGGUACCCAAAGAAUAAGCACCGGCUAACUUCGUG
rnacentral:rRNA from 1 species